rnacentral:rRNA from 1 species
CACAAGCGGUGGAUGAUGUGGUUUAAUUCGAUGCAACGCGAAAACCUUACCCACCUUUGACAUGUACGGAAUCCUUUAGAGAUAGAGGAGUGCUCGAAAGAGAGCCGUAACACAGGUGCUGCAUGGCUGUCGUCAGCUCGUGUCGUGAGAUGUUGGGUUAAGUCCCGCAACGAGCGCAACCCUUGUCAUUAGUUGCUACAUUCAGUUGGGCACUCUAAUGAGACUGCCGGUGACAAGCCGGAGGAAGGUGGGGAUGACGUCAAGUCCUCAUGGCCCUUAUAGGUGGGGCUACACACGUCAUACAAUGGCUGGUACAAAGGGUUGCCAACCCGCGAGGGGGAGCCAAUCCCAUAAAGCCAGUCGUAGUCCGGAUCGUAGUCUGCAACUCGACUACGUGAAGUCGGAAUCGCUAGUAAUCGUGGAUCAGAAUGUCACGGUGAAUACGUUCCCGGGUCUU